GACGAAGGGAGCUAGCGUUGUUCGGAAUCACUGGGCGUAAAGCGCACGUAGGCGGAUGUGUCAGUCAGGGGUGAAAUCCCGGAGCUCAACUUCGGAACUGCCUUUGAUACAGCACAUCUGGAGUCCGGAAGAGGUGGGUGGAAUUCCUAGUGUAGAGGUGAAAUUCGUAGAUAUUAGGAAGAACACCGGUGGCGAAGGCGGCCCACUGGUCCGGUACUGACGCUGAGGUGCGAAAGCGUGGGGAGCAAACAGG
rnacentral:rRNA from 1 species